AUACAUUUUAGAGAGGGAUGUGAGCACUGCAAAUAAUGUCAUUUUUUAAUUGUGUUAUAUUUGUGUUACUUAUCAUAAUAUUAAUUACUUGUAGGACUCAUCUUCACUGUGUUUCUUCUUGCAAUAAUUCAACUGCUGUUAAACCUUGAUCAACUUGAGUAAUAAUGAAACAACCUGGGAGAGAAUAAAAAAUGCUUUGAAUACCUCUGCAACUUCCCCUUUUCAACAGACUGAUUGGUUCUAAAAGCAAAGAAAUUUCAGAAAAAUAUUCUUCUCUGCAGAGUGAGAACAUAAGAUGUUUGAAAGGACUGCAUGAGAUUCAAGACGUAAGAAAUCCUGGGUUUGCAUCCAGCAUAAUAGAAAUAAUAAUUCUAGCAAAGGAAUGUCUAUUGAGAAAUCAACUGUUAUCAUUCAGCAAGCUUGGAGACAAUAUUUAAUGAAAGUGAAGUUUUUAAAGAUGCAGGCAACUAUUUAAAGGACAUUUAAAACCAUAGAUAAACGAAUUGGAGCCGAAAAGCAGUGGUGUAUAAAACUUCAAUCAUUUUUUGAACAAUGGUAGGGGAGAAUUAACAAUAUAUUUCAAUUGUGUGCAAUUACUGUUCUUGAUACUGUGUGCCAAAAAUACUGAACUUUAUUUUUCUAUUAUUAUUUUUUUAUUGUAUUGCUAUUAAAUGAACAUCAUUGAAAUGUGAAACUUUUAAAUUUUUAUGUAAAAUUUCUUUGUUGAACAUUAUCUCUAGAUAGGCCACAGGAAUGCAGCUACGGAUUUUAAAUUUGGCAUGCCGGGCGGCAAUUGUUUAUGAACUUAACAUAGAUUUUUUUCUCGAAAUUCCAAUCUGUUCUAAAGUUAUUAUAAUUUUAAAUGUUAUUUUUGCAAAUUUUUCCUCGCUUUGUUUUGGCUUUAUGUUACAUAUUGCUUUGCUGCUCAAAAUCUGUGAAACUUAAAAUUUGCAAGUUUGAUAGAAUAAAAAAAAUUUAGUUUGUUUGUUAGCUGUUAAAACUUGUGAGGAAAAAAAUGAAUCGACGGAUUUUGUUAUUAACUCACUAUCA